UACGAAGGGGGCUAGCGUUGUUCGGAAUCACUGGGCGUAAAGGGCGCGUAGGCGGCUGUUCAAGUCGGGGGUGAAAGCCUGUGGCUCAACCACAGAAUUGCCUUCGAUACUGGACGGCUGGAGACCGGAAGAGGUCAGUGGAACUGCGAGUGUAGAGGUGAAAUUCGUAGAUAUUCGCAAGAACACCAGUGGCGAAGGCGGCUGACUGGUCCGGUUCUGACGCUGAGGCGCGAAAGCGUGGGGAGCGAACAGG
rnacentral:rRNA from 1 species